UAAGGUCACGGCGAGACGAGCCGUUUAUCAUUACGAUAGGUGUCAAGUGGAAGUGCAGUGAUGUAUGCAGCUGAGGCAUCCUAACAGACCGAGAGAUUUGAACC
rnacentral:rRNA from 4 species